AUGAAGUCCCCUCUAGAGGUGUUGCUUCAUGAAACUCCAGAUUACUCCUUCCUCAAAGUGUUCGGUUGUGCAUGUUGGCCACAUCUUCGCCCGUAUAAUAAGCAUAAACUUGAGUAUCAUUCGAAAAAAUGUGUGUUCCUCAGGUACAGUCCUCUCCACAAAGGUUACAAGUGUCUCCAUGUUCCAUCAAACCGUGUUUACAUUUCCCGCGAUGUUGUAUUUGAUGAGACUGUCUUCCCUUUUUCCACGCUCACAUCGCCCACUGACACUCCUGUCGCCGAGUUACACUCGUUUCCAAUUUUACCUGAUCAAUUUGUGGAUGCUGCAUAUUCUCCUUUGUUGUUGCCUAACCACGGUGCAGGGACUGGACGAGGUGCUCGACUGGAGCUUCUUGAAGAUGAUGAUGCGCCAUCCCCGCCAACUGUUGCUACGCCAGCUGCUCCUGCUGCCACGACGGCUGCCACCGACGUUGAUCACGUGUGCAUGCCUCAUGCACGUGGAUCUGCUGGCAUGCCCGCGUCGCCUGGGCCGGCCACCCCUGUGGCCUCGUCGCCUGGGCCGACCAACCCCGUGGCCUCGUCACCUGAGUUGUUCACCCAUGUGGCCUCAUCGCCUGGGCUGGCCACCCCCAUGGCCUCGUCGCCUGGGCCUGCGGCCUCGCAGCCGCCUGGGUUGGCUGACCCCGCGGCUCGGUCGCCUGGGCUGGCGGCCCCGUCGAGUGACGACCCGUGCAUGUCCCAUGCACGCGGGUUCGCUGGAGCGCCCAUGUCGCCUGGUGCACCUGUGUCACCUGAUCCGUCGUUGUCAACCACGCCGGACCAAUCUUCGUCAAGUACGCCGGACCGAUCUUCGCCACCUCCGCCUGUAGUCAUGUGCCCUCAUACUCGCAGCAAGAGCGGCAGCGCUUCGCAUUCCACACUGGCGUGCUGCGAUGGAGCAGGAGAUUCAUGCUCUUCAGAAGAACAACACUUGGCGUCUGGUUCCACCUCCGCCCGGUGUCAAUAUCAUUGA
rnacentral:rRNA from 1 species